rnacentral:rRNA from 1 species
AUGGUGGAGGGAUCAGAUGAGGAUAUUCAAAACCUCAAAUUCCUCCUCCUCUGCUUCCAGGAAAUGUCGGGCCUGAAAAUAAACUUUGCCAAGAGCGAGGUAAUGGUCAUGGGAUAUUCCCAAGGGGAGGCCCAGCGGAUUGCCAACCGUUUGAACUGCCGCUUGGGGUCCUUCCCGAUGACUUAUCUAGGCAUGCCCCUUAGUGAUGCACGACUCCUGGAAAAGGAUCUCCGUCCAAUAGUCGCCAAGCUCCAACCUAGAAUGGAGCCUUGGCAAGGGAGAUGGCUUUCCAAAGCCGCUCGAGUGAUUCUAAUGAACUCCUCCCUUAUUAGCCUACUGAUGUAUAUCAUGGGAUUCUAUAGCCUACAUGAAUCCCUUCAUCAGGAAGUUACCAAACUACUCUCCCGCUUCUUUUGGGCGGGAGAGAACAAUAAG